rnacentral:rRNA from 1 species
GACGAACGCUGGCGGCGUGCUUAACACAUGCAAGUCGAACGGAAAGGCCCUGCUUUUGCGGGGUGCUCGAGUGGCGAACGGGUGAGUAACACGUGAGUAACCUGCCCUUGACUUUGGGAUAACUUCAGGAAACUGGGGCUAAUACCGGAUAGGAGCUCCUGCUGCAUGGUGGGGGUUGGAAAGUUUCGGCGGUUGGGGAUGGACUCGCGGCUUAUCAGCUUGAUGGUGGGGUAGUGGCUUACCAAGGCUUUGACGGGUAGCCGGCCUGAGAGGGUGACCGGCCACAUUGGGACUGAGAUACGGCCCAGACUCCUACGGGAGGCAGCAGUGGGGAAUAUUGCACAAUGGGCGGAAGCCUGAUGCAGCAACGCCGCGUGCGGGAUGACGGCCUUCGGGUUGUAAACCGCUUUCGCCUGUGACGAAGCGUGAGUGACGGUAAUGGGUAAAGAAGCACCGGCUAACUACGUG